CCAGAGGGUCGGGCGGCCGCGGGGUGCGUUAAGCACCGCGAGGAAAGUCCGGGCUCCGCGGAACGACGGUGCCGGGUAACGCCCGGCGGGGGCGACCCCAGGGACAGUGCCACAGAGAGCAGACCGCCGAUGUCCUUCGCGAGAAGGAACAGGCAAGGGUGAAAGGGUGCGGCAAGAGCGCACCGCGCGCCUGGUAACAGGGGCGGCAUGGCAAACCCCACCGGGAGCAAGAUCGAAUAGGGAUGGCAUAUGGGCCUCGUUCCGGCUCGUCAUCCGGGUUGAUUGCUUGAGGCGGCGUGCAAACGUCGUCCUAGAGGAAUGGUCGCCUAACCUCGCAAGAGGGGGACAGAACCCGGCUUACAGACCCUCUGGCGUU
rnacentral:RNase_P_RNA from 2 species